rnacentral:lncRNA from 1 species
UAAAAGUUUAAUUAUAGAUUAAAGAAAAGUUAAAAGGACCAAAUAGGCAAUUAUGCCUUUUUCUAAAGUUGAGGCGGCAUAAUGAAAGAAAUAUCUGAGAUAUUCUAGUUAAUAUAUAUAUAUAUAUGUAAGUAAUGAUUAUUAUUAAUAUUUUAUAUUAUAUUAUAUUAUAUUAUAUAUAUAUAUAUAUGACAAAGAAAGAAAGAAAAGAAACAGAGAGCAAAACAAAACAGAGAAGGGAGAAAGAAAGAAACAGAGAGCAAAACGAAACAGAGAAGGAAGGAAGGAAAGAAAGAAAGAAAAGAAAAAAAAAAGGGAAAUUUGGGGUUUUAAGGUUUAAAGUAAUUUGGUAAGUCAAUUUAAUCCCCUUUUCUCUUAAUUUUGAUAUUUUUUUUGAAAUCCUAGAAUAAAAUACUACUUGAUUUAAGUUGAAAUUUUGAAAGUUAGUAGAUUAUUAAGCAUGGUUCAUGUUGAAUAAAUUGUUAAAUUAGGGAUGUAUUUGAUAGAAAUUUUGAUUGGAAUUGAAUAAAGGAUUGAAUUGUAAACUAAACUAUAAGUUUUGAAUUUUAGGGAUUAAUUUGAAAUAAAUUCGGAAUUAUGAAAACACGAUAAAAAUUAAAUAGUUAAAUAUGAGUUUAGUAAGAAUUAAGAGAGAAUAUAGAGUUAGAUUGGGAAAAAUAAAAUUAGUAUUGGUAAGGGAUUAAAUUAGAAUUUGGGUAAAGUUUAGGUAUAAAAGGAAAUAUUUUAAUGAAAUUGUGUAUUAAUGAUUUUUAAUUGUUUAAUUACGUAGCUAAUGUCGUGUACGAGUCAUUGUCCGAGAAAGGAAAGGAGAAAGUGGACAAGGAGUGACUCGAGAGAAAUUACGGUUAGUAUUACUAUAAUUCGAAUUUAAUUAUUAAUCGUUGAAAAUUAAAUUAAUAUACACGAUAAGCAAAUUGAGGUGAGUUUCAUAAUUGAAUUGAAUAAUAUAUAUACGUAUUGAUAUUGAAUUUAUUGACAGUAAUUAUUGAAUUUUGAAUAAUAUGUUAGUAAAUAAAAAUAAGGAGAAUAUCAAUAUUUAAUUGAAUGAAUUAAAAUAUGAAUUGAAUAAAUGAGAUAUUAAAUUGAGAUAUGUGAAUAUGUGAAUUGUGUAUUGAUUGAAAAGUGGUUUGAAUUGAAUCGAAGUAUGAUUAUAUGUGAAUAUCUGAAAUAUGUAUUGGUAUUGAAUUGUAUAUUGAUUUGAAAGUGGGAAGUGAAUCUGAGUUGAAUUGCGAUUAAAUCGAAAGUGAAUUUGAAAUAGAAAAAUGUAUUGAAACAAAUGGUGAUUAAAUGGGAAUGAUUUGAAUUGAAAGUAUGAGAAAGUGAUUGAAUUGAAAUGUGAUUCGGAAACCCUAUUAACUAGUGGGGCUGAGUCGGAUAUAGUUGGCAUGCCAUAGGAUUGGAAGAGUUCAGGGAUACUUCGACCAUGAGUCGAUGAGACACUGGGUGUCACUAUAUUUCUUCGGAUAGAUUCGAUGAGGUACUGGGUACCAACUUUACUUCGGCUGGGCCGAUGAGACACUGGGUGUCAACUAUUGCUUCGAACUAUCCGAUGAGGCACUGGGUGCCAUUUUGGUGUGUUUGGUUGGAUCCGUGUAUCCGCCAAGAUCCGAGUCUUGUUAAUAGGGGUAAAUAAUUGAAAUGAGAAAAUUGAAUAAAUGUGAUUGAUUGAGCUAUGGGAAGAAACGAAAAAGUGAAGUUGUGAAUUGAUGUGUGAAUUGGAAAUCGAAAUAAGAGAUUUAAAGAUAUGAGCCCAAAGUUCAUGAUGUGAUAAAGAGUAAAUUUUGUUAUAUGAUAUUAGUGAGUACAAAUUGCAAUAAAAUUUAUAUUGAAUAUAAAUUAAAUGAAAUGAAUUGUAUAUGAAUUGAAAUGAACUAUUGGAAUGAGAUGUAAAGAAAAAUCCAAUGGAAUUGAGAUAGUGAAAUAAGGUAUGAAUACAAUUAAAUACAAGAUUUGAAUUAUAGCUUAUUGUUAUUAAUUAUCAAGUUGAUUUAAUGCAUGAGAUAAUUAAUGAAUAAUUGUAGACAUAAAUAAAAUGUAUAUAAUUUAUCGAUUAAUGUUAUUAAUUCGAAUUAUGGUAAUACCACUGAGUAUUUCCAUACUCAGCGUACGGUUGUUUCCGUGCGCAGGUUAGGUCAAAGUCGGAUUGUUGAAUCAGCAUCCAAAGCCGAUUCUGAGCUAAUUGUGGUGGUGAACAUUUCUUUUAGUUAUGACAUGUAUAGGAAUUUAGUAAUUUUGUAUAUUUGUAAAUAUGAUUUUACUAUAGAAUGAUGUGUAAGUAUUUGAUGAUGAAUGGUUGUUUAAAUGGUCAAGGAUGAAGUUAAUUAUUGUUAUAAAAGUCUAAGUGAUAAAUUAGGUAUGAAAGUCAUAAAAUGGUAAAAUUUUGCAAAGAAACAGAAUUCAGGCAGCAAUAGUGACGUGAAUUUGAAAAAUCACCCAAGAUAGUAUAAAAUGAAUUAGAGGGUGAAUGAUAUAUGGAAUUAAAGCUUGUUGAGUCUAUUUUCAUGGAAAAAUAACGGUGUAGAGAAAAGAAAUUUAUAUUUUAAGAUAUGUGAAUUUUAGUAAGAUAGGGUCAGAACUGUUUUUGGAGUCCCCUGUUCUGAGUUUAGAAAAUAAUUACAAAUUGUACAAAAAUGGUUAUGAGUUGAAAUUUACAUGCUUAGAUUCCUUAAUGAGUCUAUUUUCUAUAGAAACAAGUAAGAACUUCAUAUGAAAAUCCUAUAGUGAGAAAACUUAUUUUUAGUGACUAGAGGUCAGGGCAGUCUGGUGGUGACACAGGGGAGAAUUUAACUAAUAAACUGUACUAAUUUGCUGAACCAAAAAUUCUAAAAAUUUUAUGGUGAGUAUAUAUAUGAGUCUAGUUUCAGGGAAAAUUUACGAAAUUAAAUUUGGAGUUCCGUAGCUCGAGUUAUAAUCAAUUUAGUAACUGCUGCGCGAUUGGACAGAUUACUGUAAACAGUGAAAUUAAUUUUUAAAACGAAUUUUUAUGCCCCGAAUUAGUAAGAUAAGCUAAGUAAUGCCUCGUACUCGAUUCCGGCAACGGUCUCGGGUAAGGGGUGUUACAAGCUCAAUAAGACUUGCAACCCGUUCGAGUCAAGUAUUACUAGGCUCAAAUUUCACUCGAUCGGUAGCUCGAGCUACUCAAGCUCAAGCUACUCAAGCUCAAGCUCAAGCUCAGCUCAAUAAUUACUGAAUUGAGUUCGAAUAUUUUUUUAGCUGAACUCAAGCAGCUUAGGAGAAUCAAUGUCUCAUUUACACCCCUACCCAGAACACAAAAGACAAAUGAUCUCUUUCCUCUCAAGAAAACCUAAGUACCUUACCUUAUUACUUAAUUAUCGUAUUCUUAAUUUCUCCCCAUCUACAACCUCUUAUUCUAGCUCGUUGCUUAUCCUAAGUGAAUUGGCCACCCUAUCUCCACCAUCAUCUCCUUAUUGUAAACUCUCUUGUUGAAAUCUUGUACCAAAAAUUGGUGCUAUAAGUAUGAACCAAACUACCAUUGCAUAUUCUUCUAUUGUUGUCCUUGAAAAUGUUUCAAACCAAAACCCAAGCACAAAAAUAACAGCCUCCCCAAGUCACUCAACAACCACUUCUUAACCUUAUCUAGCAACAAAGUACGCAGCACUAAUUCAACCUUUAUCGGGCAUCUCCUCCACUAUCUCACGUGAUAACCCACACUAAUCCUUCAUAUUACCAAUUCCCACUUCCACCCUAGUGGUAUGCCCAACCUCCUCAAGGCAACAUUAGUGUCCCUCCCAAUGAGGAAACCUCCCAAAACCCCAACUUCAACUCCCAAUAGUUCAUUAAGAUGCAAGAGAAAAUAAGGCUUCUUAAAAUUCAAUUUUUAGAGCAACAAUAGAUUUAUCAGAAACAAUAAGAGCUUCAACGCCUAUUGAGCUAAAAGAAUUCAAGGAAUAAGCAUAUUACAAAAAAAGCUCAAAUCUAGUAGAAACCCUUCUAGAACCAACCACCCGGCCUAGGAGGAGGAAACCGCCAGUCCUUCCUCUAAAGGCAUAGGAACUAACGCUUACCAAACAACCCUCAAGGUAACCUCCACCUAGCAGACUCUCAAAGCGAGGCCCCUCAUAACCAAGAUGUUUCCUUGGAGGAGCAAAUGCUAGCACUAAGAAGAGAGUUAUUAUAGGAAUUUUGAAGUGUUAAAUCUAAUGAAACCUCUUAGAGUUAUGCCAGUGAACCCCUUUCAAUGCAAGUCUUAACCCACAACUUAUCAUCAACCUUCAAGUUCCCCAAAGCUUCUUAUGCGGUCAAAGAGACCUUGAGGACCACUUGACUCACUACAAUAACCAUAUGAACAUUUUGGGGGCCUUAGAUGCAAUCAAGUGUAGGGUGUUCUCUAUGACCCCUACCCAUACAACCCGGACUUAGUAUUUGUCUUUACCGAAGGGUACCGUUCACAUAUUUGACCAACUAACCAAUCUAUUCAUGAAUAGAUUUUUAGCCAACAAAUCCCUUCAACAAUCCUUAGAAAACUUCUUCUUGAUCCGCAAGAUAGUUAAGUUUUUAUUGAAUAUUGCUAUUCAAUUUUAAUUUAAAAUAAUUUAAAGACAAAUAGAAAAUACAAUUUUAUAUUUUACUUUAACAUUUAACAAGAAUAAGUUAUUUAAUAUAAUAUUAAAAUUAAAUAACAAUGGUUAUUUUAUAAAAGUAAACUUUUUUAUUAUAAAUCUAUUUUAAUUUUUCAAGUUUUUAAAAUUUUAAUUAAAUUUAUUAAUUUUUCAUAUUAUAGGUUAAAUUAUUGUUAAUUAUUAAAAUAAAAUAUUUAAUUUUUUUAUUAAAUUAUGUUUUUCAAAUCAUCAAAAUUAAUACCAAUAAACUAGGAAUAUGCAGUCUGAGGCCGCAGCUGCUGGUGGUGUUGUGAGCAUACGGGCACUUGGUUAGCUGAUUUUCUGCGAAAUAUACACUUGUUCGAUCCUUAUUGCUGAGGUAAGGGGGGCGCAUGAUGGGCUUCUGCAGGCGUAGGAGUUGGGGGCUAUGUGAGUUACUCUAGUGAUGGACUGCAAAGCAACAGUUCAGUUGCUGCAAGAACCGACAGCGGAAAAAUCGUGUUUCGCCACUGUCCGAGAGGUUCAACGGUUGUUGCGAUGACAAUGGGAGGUAAAGAUUCAACAUGUCUAUAGGGAGGGCAACAGGACAGCGGAUGCUUUGGCUGCACAUGCACCUCAUUGCCCACUUGGUUUCUGUAAUUGGAUACAACCGUCAGCUAAGAUUUUAUCUUUUUUACAUGGCGACUUGGAUGGUAUACGGCAUUCACGUUUGGAUGCUGUGUGAAUUGUAUUGUUUUUCUCUCUAUUAUAAAUAAUAAUAAUAUUGAUUUAUAACUUUUUUAAUAUAUAAUGAAAAAAUAAAGUGAGAAAUUUCACAAGCGUACAACAA